rnacentral:rRNA from 1 species
GACGGAGGAUGCAAGUGUUAUCCGGAAUCACUGGGCGUAAAGCGUCUGUAGGUGGUUUAAUAAGUCAACUGUUAAAUCUUGAGGCUCAACUUCAAAAUCGCAGUCGAAACUAUUAGACUCGAGUAUAGUAGGGGUAAAGGGAAUUUCCAGUGGAGCGGUGAAAUGCGUAGAGAUUGGAAAGAACACCAAUGGCGAAAGCACUUUACUGGGCUAUUACUGACACUGAGAGACGAAAGCUAGGGUAGCAAAUGGG